AUGUCUGGCCGUACAUUGUGUUUGUAUUUCCAGGCACAUUUCACGAAGCAGAACGCAGUCUUCAGAGAUAUCCACGUGAACGCUGUGAUACGUCUGACCUUCAGUCCGAAGAAGAAACCCAGACCAGUCUUAAAAGAAAGCACAAACCAAAUCCCCUGUACACAUAUACGGACUCAGAGGAUGAGCAGCCUACAAAAAAACGGUUUCCCCAGGCCCCUCGAGUGAAAAUACCAGCCCUCAUCACUCCGCAGUCUGCCCCCCAGCCCACUGAUAGCAACCAUCAUAAUGCCCCACCCAGCUUCCGGCACCUUUCGCCACUCCGGCACAAACCGACACAGCGUUGCGAUCUCGCCAGCAUGCAGAGUCUGAUGUCUUCCCUAUAGAUGAUUCCAGAGACUCUGUGAGGCCACUAUUACAAGGUGAGACGCUUUGCGUUGAUUGGUGCUGCUGGACCACACUGGAGGUGCGAGUCCGCCGUGUAAUGGUUUAUGCCAUUACAAAGGAGCUGGCCUCUGUACUCAACUGGACAGGGGAAAAAAAACCAAGGACCAGACAAAGCAAAAAAGGGCAUUUAAAGAGACAGCGCUGUGCAGAUGCAUAUUUGAUGGCCUGGCGCAGCAGGUAGGGGCGAACUCUAUGUCUGAGUUGGUCUUUGCUCAAGCAGUCCAGAAAUGGCUCAGAUAUGCUCCAGAUCGUACGGGUGGCGCGCAGGACGCCCAUCAUCCAUCCCCAUCCCGGAGUAAAUAAUAAAAAGUGACGUGAAACAUAGAAAUGUAAAUAGGAAACUUUGUCUUUUAAUAAAGUAUUUUGCAAAUGA